GAUAAAGUGAAUCUAGCUAUUUUUGUUGAAAUAUUUAGCGAUACAAAAAAGCAAAAAGCCUACAGCACCCCGGAUUCCCAUGUUGUCUCCAACCAUAGUACUAACGAGGCCCUCAGACGCUUAACUGCAGUGAUCGGACGGGAACUGGUGUUUUCGCCUAGGUGUGGCCGUAGACAUUGAGUUUAGUAUUUAGUAAAAUA